GCUGGGGUCUGCGAAAAGACAAAUUCCUCAUGCAAGAAAUUGUAUAGGGCUAAUAAAGUGAUCUGAUCUUAUCUAAUUAAAUUCAGGACCCAGCAGCGCCCAUCAGCCCGUCACCAUACCGCGAUAGAUGUCACUUAUUAGCACCUCUCAUAGUCUAGUACAUAAAUAUAUAUUUUUCAGAAUUAUUUGACGAACUCUUUCAGAUCUGUUAUCCAAACCCUCCCAGGUGGAGUCACUGAAGCGGUUCAUUCCCUGAUUUAUCCAGGAGGGGCGGGGGGGAGUUCGUUCAGACACUAACGAAACGCCGCACUACAUUGACAUUGCACUAAGAGAGGCAGGGGGCGGGGACAGGGCGUCUUCGCCCUCAUAAAGCAGCGCCUUAGUGCCUUUUUUUUUUUUGCGCUCGCCUGCCCGCUAUGUCACCUUCAAGCUGGUCUGUCGGCAUUCGGUUUAAACGAGCAGCGCCAGAGAUGAACUGAAGCAGCGCAGGCGGGCAGAGACACAAGUUGCGUCAAGUCUCUGCCCGCGUGUGAUGUUUCAGUUCAUCACUGGCGCUGCUCCUUUAAGUGCGAUGUGUUAGAGGUAAGGGGUCAUUUUCGGCAAUGAGACUGGGGCGGACCGACCAAAGCAUUAGGACCGGGGACUAUAGUGCCAGAUUCACCCCCCUACCAGCCGAACGACGCAGCGUGUCCCUCCGCGAGUUGCAGGAGCACAGUAUCCCUACUGCCGCAGGGUCUCUUCCUGUCACUACGCCACCUCCAGGCGAGCGUGUGAGAAAUGCAAUACGAGUCUGCGGGUAAUGGGGCGUGAGAUUGGACUGCACGUCCCGUUGGUUUUCAAUAGGAUUUGAGAUCUGGGUUCUUUUUCCGGCCGGGGAAGGCGAUGGGAGUCUGUCUCGGGCCGUGCGAGGUCAUUCGCUCUGGGGGACCGUCCCUGGCCAGACCCCUCCCCGCUAUUUCACUCCUCUUUCAGAGAAACCGGUGGGUCCGGUGCGACGUGUAUUUCAAUCCGACGCGCCAUUGCCUUCCACGACGCUUCCUCUCCUCACAAGAGCAGCAGGACUGCACAGAUUUCUGAAGCUUGUGAUAAACAUGCCACGUCCUGCAGGAAUCGCGCUUGUUGAAGGCAGAAGCGGGAGCCGGUUUGCGGAGGGGUGGGGUUCCUAAUAUUUUGGCCGGUUGGUGUGUUGGUAGCAGAGGGUGCAUUUUGUGCACAGGUAGACGAAACACUGCCCGUGCAAUGGGUCGGAACAAGGACCUGACCGAAUUCGAGAGAGGGAUGAUAGUCGGAGCCAGGCUAUGCGGGGCUAGUCUAGCUCAGACGGCCCGCAAGGUCCUGAAGUCCCGCACCACGGUCUGCCGGGUGUUCAAGGACUGGCGCACGGCGCAGAAGAGGAGCACGGACCGGUCGCGGUGCGGGAGAAAGCGGCUGGUCUCGGAAGAGGCCCGGCGCUGGCUGGCGCGGCUGGUGGAGAGCGAGUGCGAGCGGCCCUCCCUCACCAUCUCGUCCAUCACCGACUCCCUCAACGCCGCCCAGGCGCAGGACAAGGCGGUCUCGGCCCGCACCGUCCGCCGGGAGCUGCGGCGCCUCAACUUCCACACCAGCCGGGUCUCCCUCGUCCCGUACCGCAGGCAGAGCGACGGCGAGCCCUCGGCUCUCCCAGUGCGUAUUACCCCGGUCGCGCAAUCCUAUUGUUUUGAAAUACGAGGAGUUUUCAGAGCGAGCACGCACACACGCACACAAGUAAGAAAUUUGUGUUUUACAUGCAAGCCAUUACUGGAGUGCACGUUCGCACACGUAGUCGUAACAGUAGUUGAAUAUUCACGUCACGAAAGGUUGGAGAAGACAGCAGUCGUGUUGCAUAACACGGGGGCGUACAGUACUUUUACAAUGGGAAGACAAAACACCCUAAUAUCUCCCAAUGCUAGAUAUUUAGCGUUACAAAACAGCUAUUUACAGAGAGUGAAGGCGUCUGUGUUUUAUGUGUGACAUGGCAUAGUUGAUCGAUAGAUUUGCGCACUCGCGUGACAUCAACAAAGUUCACAGCGCAGCGAUUUUUCCCGUUUUUUUUUUUGGUGGAGGAGGGCGAUUAAACACAUGAUUUAGAGCACUUAAUCCUGCGAGAAACAACCUGUUAAUUCGUCUAUGACGCGAUCGGUAAGGAAUACGCCAGCCCACGGGGUGAAAAUAACUGGACUUGAGAGGAGAAACAAUGGAAAAGCCAACCCACAACAAACAGACCGCUGUAAAAAAGGAUGGAAAAUAAAAUUAAUAAAAGAGAAGAUGUCACUGAGA